UUUCUGAAAUUGCAGAAGCCUCUCAAGCAUGUAAUUUGUGGCUUCCAAUGAGUUUGAACUUCAUGCUUGAAGUGACACAGAAAAGUCACCGGACUUCAAGACUGCAGUUCCAUCCUCAGGGGCAGAAAAAGGUCAUUACAUGGCUCUAUCAAGUGACAGCAUAUGGCCACAGGGAAAUCAGUUGACUGAUUUAGAAAAUGAAGGCUAUAACCUGGUAAAUCUCUAAGAAAUUUAAGACAGUUGCACCCUAAAGCUUUGCUUUGAAAAAAUCAUCACUGAAGAUUAGUAACAAACCCAUGCACUACACAUUCUAGAAGAUUAAAAGAAAAAAAAGAGAUACUUUCCUCUUAUACUCACUGAAAACCAAAA
rnacentral:lncRNA from 1 species